rnacentral:rRNA from 1 species
UACGGGGGAUGCAAGCGUUAUUCGGAAUUACUGGGCGUAAAGGGCGCGUAGGCGGUGAUAUAAGUCAGAUGUGAAAACCAUCGGCUUAACCGAUUGGAUUGCAUUUGAUACUGUAUCACUUGAGUUCAGUAGAGGAGAGUGGAAUUCCCAGUGUAGCGGUGGAAUGCGUAGAUAUUGGGAAGAACACCAGUGGCGAAGGCGGCUCUCUGGACUGAUACUGACGCUGAGGCGCGAAAGCUAGGGGAGCGAACAGGAUUAGAUACCCUGGUAGUCCUAGCCGUAAACGAUGGGUGCUAGGUGUUGGGGGUUUCCAUGCCCUCAGUGCCGAAGCUAACGCAUUAAGCACCCCGCCUGGGGAGUACGGCCGCAAGGUUGAA